CUUUCCAGCAUGGAAAGCCAAGUGCAAAGACAAGGUCUUUAUCAGCAAUGGAACCCAGUGGCAUGGCUUGGGGUUCAAACUGGGAGCGUCAGGUACUGGUUCCUCUGGAGCCCCAAGGAAAAGCCAGCAUUCCUUGAAAAUGGCAGAAGCCACCAAAAGUCAUCCUGCCCGUAUUAGAACAACGUACUGAAACUGCGCUAACAAAUCCAGAAAGACACAUCACAUAAUAAUUGGGAGGUAAUGAGGUGACUUAAUACAGGUGAGUGAAAAGUCUCUAGAACAGUACCUGGUGUGUACAGUAAUUGCUCGAAAAGCGUUUGCUCUCACAGAUAGAUGGGAAACAUGCAAAGACGGAGUGACGUGCUCAACAUGGUGGAGAGGAAAGGACCACCCAAGUGUCCUGAUUCCUGCCUCAUUCGGGGCUCAGCCAAAAGAUUGGAUCCUCUUUAUAAGUUCCCAAGCACAAGGCAGGAAACCAGAUGAUUCUCUGCUCCCACCCGUGAGAACCCUUGCUACAAUCAACAAGCUCCGUAAGAGGGAAACUUCUCUGCUCCAUUAGUCACACCUCCUCCUCUCUCCUGACACUUCCAGGUACUUGAGAAACAGCAAUGCAAGAAGGACACUCUGAACCUCCUUUGUCCCCCUGACAGCAGGAGAUAAAUCUCAUGUGUGAAAGGUAC